UAUCGGUGGAGUCUUCAGAAAAAGAAAGUCGUGUGCGGCAAUGGUGGUGGACAGUGACGGAGAAGUUAGAGAGAAUUUAGGGUUUGUGAGCGAAAUUAGAAGUCGUCGUCGUCUGCGUCUUCGUCUGAGCGAACAGAGUCACCGGAAAAUCGUCUGCGUCGUCGUCUGAGCGAACAGAGUCACCGGAAAAACUGAAAAGGAUGACGUCGCCGGAUUCGUCUUCUACAAUAAAUAGU
rnacentral:sRNA from 1 species